AGCUCCAAUAGCGUAUAUUAAAGUUGUUGCAGUUAAAAAGCUCGUAGUUGAAUUUCUGAUAGAAGGGAGCGGUUCCGCAUUCUUGCGGAUACUGGCUCGUCUUCCGUCAUCCUUGGGCUUAGUCUCGCUGAUAUUAACUUAUCGGCGUGGAAGAUGCCCAUCGUUUACUGUGAGCAAAUUAGAGUGUUCAAAGCAGGCAUUUUGCCAUUGAAUAUAUUAGCAUGGAAUAAUAAGAUAGGAUUUCACGAUUUUAUUUUGUUGGUUUGCGUUGUGAAAUAAUGAUUAAGAGGGACAGUUGUGGGUAUUCGUAUUCAGAUGUCAGAGGUGAAAUUCUUAGAUUAUCGGAAGACGAACGACUGCGAAAGCAUUUACCAAGGAUGUUUUCA
rnacentral:rRNA from 1 species